CGACAGCCGGGAGGGGAGGCAGGGCCCAGGACGCGAGGUGGCGACAAGUCGCUUUUGGCCCCAGGGAGCCGGAUAUGAGUGGAAGAGAGAGGACCACUUGUUACUAGGCAACCAGCACCCGCCUCACCCAUGUUGCCAUGGUGAUGAUGAAAGUUGGGCUGAUGGGAUUACCAGCUCCUGCUAAUUGCACAUGAGCACUCAAGGGGCUGUGGGGUCACCUUCUCCUCUCUCCUGCCACCCCAAGGCAUCUGCACUGUGUGUUAUGCAAUGAGAGAGCACCUUGGCCUGGACCUCAAGAGACCCACGUUUAGUUCUGCCUCUGUCAUGGCCUAGAGCAGUGGCCUCAGGUAAGUCAACUCACCUCUGUGGAGCUGGAGCCUCCUCUC
rnacentral:lncRNA from 1 species